GUGAGUCAUCGAAUCUUUGAACGCACAUUGCGCCCUUCGGUAUUCCGUUGGGCAUGCCUGUUCGAGCGUCAUUAGAAACUUCAAGCUCAGCUUGGUGUUGGGUGCUUGUCCCCGUUCGCGGCGGACUCACCUCAAAUGCAUUGGCGGCCGGUAUGUUGGCUACAGCGCAGUACAACGCGUCUGGCGUCUUGAUAUACUGGUCCUCCAGAAGCCCCUUCUUUGACUUGACCUCGGAUCAGGUAGGGAUACCCGCUGAACUUAAGCAUAUCAAUAAGCGGAGGA
rnacentral:misc_RNA from 1 species